UUACAGCAGCCUAAGUACUGUAAGACUCUGGAGGAAGACAAGAGGUCAUUCAUAAUCAGGGUUCUGUUUACUGUUGGUGUCCUCCAAGAAUUACAACACAUCCAGAGUUAUGUGACUGAAUGUCAGGGAUGCCGGUCUUCUCAACCUCAGCCUCCAUAAGCGCUCCCUCAGACGUGUCCGCAAAUGAGUCAGUGCUCUGUCCACUCAGAAUCAGUUUAUUGUAUUCACAGGGUCAUCCUGUGGGGAAGAAUUCAGAUAAGCUGAUCUGUAUCAAGCAGGUUUAGGAUGGCACCACCACAAAUAUGCUAGAAUUAUAAAAAGAAGAGCAUAUCUAGAAGACAAGGUUAUGGCUAUCAAUUUAUAUAUCAUGAUCAAUUUGUACCUCAUGAAAAUCAAAGAUGUCUCAAGUAUCCUAAUGAUGCAUCUCGGGAUGCAAGAUUAAGCAAUAACAACAACCCAAAUCCCAAAGCAGUUAUAAGAAAGCAUAAGAAAUAUCAGAACUGGAAAUAACUGGACAUUGAGAGGUUGAAACAAGAUGAAAGAAAAAAAAAAAAAAGAACUGGUUCUUCAAAAGGAUGAACAAAUCUGACAAACCUUCCAUUAGAGACAAGUAGAAUCCAUGGGAACUCUAGGGGCUACUCUGCAAGCUUGUACUCCAGAGUGUUAAGAAGCCUCAAAGAAAGAGAUUGCUCCAUUUGCAAAACAGACACCAACACUGAAACAAGAGAUUACCAAACAUGCACCACCUUUUGCCUUCCUGUUGCUACAUCCUGGGUAUUAUGAUACAUUAAGGAGCUUAUUGACAUGUAAAGCAAUCAAUACAAGCACAAGAUUCAAAGAGGAAUACAGUAUCUCCCAACAAGGACAGUCAGGACCAACAGAUUACAGAGAGGAUCUUAUCUAUUGGCUAUAAAAUGCAAUGGAGAUCAAUGAUCCUCAAGCUGCUUUACCACAGAGACAAGAAAAGAUCAUUCUGAACUUAGUCUACAAAGCCAGUUUUACCCUAAUGCCAAAAACAUAAUUAGAUACAUGCACACUAGACAAACACACAUACUGUAUAAGUUAAUAUUCUUAAUAAACAUCUACACGAACAUCUCCCAUAAUCACACAAUGUCCAACAACAUAGAAAACAUAUACUUCAUGUUCAUGGUGUGUUCAGCACAGAAUUCUAGGAUAAUUCUACAAAAACCUGGUCAACAAAAAGCAGGUAAGGAGGUCAAGGAAAGAGGUCAUGCUCAGACACCAAAAAUUAAAUUCUGUCAUUUUCUGAAAUACACAUAGACAUAGGGUUGCUUAUCUGUAACAUGCCAGUUCCAGGGAUAUACUGAGCCUAACUAGAGCUGUGAUUGGGUAAGUGGGACCUUUUGAUUAAAAAGGGGAGAAUUGUAGACACAUGCCAGAUGUAAUUCAAUGUAACAGAGCAUAUGGAAAUGAUCCAAGUUCACAACAUAUGUGUAUAGGAGUAUCACACAGAAAUUUCUUAUUUACAAAGUUAAGAUUUCAAAUCGAAAGAAGAAGAAGAAAGGAAGAAGAAGAAGAAGAAGAAGAAGAAGAAGAAGAAGAAGAAGAAGAAGAAGAAGAAGAAGAAGAAGAAGAAGAAGAAAGAAGAAACCAGAGUACAACAUGGCAAAGCAAAAUUAUUGAAAGAGGAUCAUUUGGAAAAAAAAAAUGAAACUCAGAAGAAAUCAAUGACUUACACAAAAACAGUGAGUGCAUGAAUCAAAAGGAAACAUGAAACUCACAGCAACAGAGGAAAUCUCCCAAAGUCAAGGAAAGAAUUCCCGAAGCCUAGGAAAGCACAAGUGUAGCAGGACCAAUGCUGAAGUCCAACUGCUUUCCAUCCAACAAGAGAUUCUCCACAGCAUUAGGACAAACCCCAGCACACUGCAAUACCUUCUAUGAACAGAUUUCCAUCCUUUCUCACAAUGUUCUUCAUAAUGUCACUACAAGGGAUGGACCAGUAACAGCAGGGAAUAACCUAAUGCAGUUUCUCUAUCCAUCCCCAGGGACUGCAUUAUUUUUAUCAUGACAGUGAACAAUUCCUUAACAAAAUGCAACAUUUAAAAUAAAAGUAUCCCUUCUCCCAAGAUUUCAGAGAACAGGAAUGUAUGGCAGUUGGAGGAGUUGUGACUUGGCAAGAUGGGUCUGAAGUAGCUGAUCACACAGCUUUGGCAGGCCAGUCACCUAAUUCCUCCUGCUGCUUUCUAAAGUACUGGGGUUUUAUUACCUUCCCAAUCAAUCAGCACUCCAGGCUAGAGACUAAGCAUUCAUACACAUGAGAAGGUGUGAGACCUUCCCAGGAAGAGAAUUUGAGGCCUUCUUUAGGAAGAGAAUUUGAUGUUAAUAACACAAGCCCCACAGACUCAGGAACUCUGUGCUUAUUUGGGUUAGGGACACAGGUCUGGACUAGUUUGAGAGUGAACCUAUAGAAUAAUUCAGUGGCUUAUUUACUAUGACUAUUGGCCUUCCUGCAUGGAUGUAAAGGUGUCCUGGGACUUGGGAGCCCUGGAACCACACAGCUUUGAGAGGAGAAGGUAUCCUAAUGGAAGGGUAUCCUGAGACACAGAGACCAGAAACCACACAGCUAUGAGAUGGUAAGGUAUCCCAAUGGAAGGGCAUCAUGAGACAGAGGAGCCCAGGAGGCCACACAUCUCUGAGAGGAAGCCUCCUCAGCAAAUUUGUUGGAGCUCCCAGGGGAGGCUAUCCAUAGCUAAAUGAGGAGCUCAGGAGCCUCAACCCUGCAGUUCAGUGUUGCAGCUCCCAGGGGUGGGUGUCUCCAGCUGAGCUCAGGAGCUCUGGAGUCUCAGCCCCACUCUGCUUUUUACCUUCAUCUCUUCAUUGCUUCUUGGCUUCUUCUGAUGAGAGAGUCACACCAGGCAGCAAAUCUCAAAGAAAAGAUUUGUUGGGAGGAUUCAGGGUGUGGAGGGAUGAAUCCAGGGUUGUCUGGCUAUUCCUGCACCUGGGAGAAGACAGCAGGGAACUGAGCAAACACACCCUUUAUAUAGGACUACUUAGGGGGUGGAACUUCCUAGGGAAAAGAUUUCCAGGGUAAAGAAUGGUGGGAUUUCAAGUCCUGAGAUUGGGGGAGCUCAAGGAUUGGUGAAAUUUGAGACACUAAAGAAUUAAAAAAUAGAUUUUUUGGGGUAUUGGUUUAAAGUGUAAAGCACAAGCCUGAACAAAGGCCAGCCAGAUAGAGACAUGUCUAGCCAUCUGGGGAGAGGAACUAGCUUUACUGCAUUCUUCUCUUGCCCACUAGAGAUACAGUUGAUAGGAAACCCACACAGAUGGCCAGGCAACCAAUCAUUUCAAAAGUCAAGUUUCCUUAUCCAAUCAUGUAAUGCCAAGCAUGUAACCCAUUGCUUACAGUUUUCCCUUUAAAAACCUUGUUCCCCUAAACAGCCCUGCUGCACUCCUCCUCUUCACCAAGGAGGUUGCUGCAACCCUGGCUAGAGCUUGUAAUAAAUAAACAAACCCUCAUGUGUUUUGCCGCAGAGUCAAUUCCUGGUAGUCUUUGGGGGCCUCUUGAACUGAGCAUAACAGUUUCUGUGGAAAGCUCAGGGACUGGUGGGUGGACAGCAAGCAACCAAGAAAGCAAGCAGAGAGAAAAAAUAGAAGAAAGAAGAAAGAAAGAAAGAAAGAAAGGAAGGAAGGAAGGAAGGAAGGAAGGAAGGAAGAAAGAAAG